rnacentral:lncRNA from 1 species
CCGUGGUAGGAUCCUAGAUUUUAUCUAAGAAAUUCAAGUCCAGACCCGAACAUUUGACAGCAACUCGGGCUCGAAUAGACUACCUUCUGGUGUCAUAGGCGUCAAUGGAAUAUUCAGCUCUUUCUUCCUCAUAUUCUUCUGAGGUCCGAAAGUCCUCCACAGUCUUAGAAGCAACCUUGGCUGUUCGCUUCUCCUCAGCCCCCAGUCGG